rnacentral:hammerhead_ribozyme from 1 species
ACCAUUCGACGAGUCCCAAAUAGGACGAAACGCGCGUCCUGGAU